rnacentral:lncRNA from 1 species
AUGCUGGCUGGGUGUGGGGGAUGGAGAGGCUUUGGCUGUCAAGUAAGCCAGCAAGGUCCCAAAACAACCCCAAGUACCAUAAAUCCUCACCACGCACUCCUGGGACUCCUUCUGGGAGGGAUUGGGCAUUUCUUCUACCCCCAGAGAGCUGGCUGGAGCUGUGGGUCUGCCGUGGGACAGUCAGCCAGGCCAGCAGGGGGAUUUCAGUUGGGUAAAUCCCCAAAAUGUGCAAGAAAAUGUAAACACUCUGGUUUAAUUCCUGGUGACAUACACUGCUUUUACCUUUUAGCCAUCUGCCCAAGCUCUUCUCCUUUCUUGAUGGUAUUUAUCCCAGCUAAAAAUGGAAAAUGUACCCCAAGGAGCAAAGCCAGCUGUCAGCCUGGUGCCCACACCCCUGUGUCCCUUCCCUGGCAGACGCCAAUGGCCAUGGUAGGAAGGUGCGGCAUCGAACACCAAAAUCUUGAAUUUUCCACCCAGUUGGUGCCCACCCUCAGGGCACAGCCACAUGCCCGUGGCAUGGAGCUGGGGCCAGUGGAGCCAGCGCUCCUGCGGUGCCGGCUCCAUCCCAUCCCACGCACACCAGGUUCACCAGGGCACCAGCAGGGUCAGGAACCCUUUUUCCUUUUCCACGAGUUUUUGCCAUUGAGUGGCAAAAAAAUUGCUGGUGGAAAAUCAGCACACUGCCUUCUGCAAAGAGCAGCCCAUUCAGUAACACUCCGACAUGCUGAAGUGGGACGGGAGGCAAGGAGUAAAUACACCACUUGUAUGCACGUGCCGGUGGAGCCUGUGUCGCACGGUCCCCAAAAGCCCCCCUCCAGCCACAUCCCUGCCCCAACACCCCAUCCCCUUCUGGCAGCCUCCAGCUCUGCCCAGGCUGGGGAUCACCCACUCUGGGUAUGGGGCCUCGGGGUGCUCUUGGGGCAGCACCGGGGAACGGGGCUGGGGACCCAGCACCUGGGCUGGAGCCAUGCCCCUCUCGCUGGCAUGCUCGGGGCCUCUGGCCAGCACUUGCUGAACAGCUGA